UGGGAAUGCUAUUUGUGAAAGUAUUUACUUCGGUUUCUGAGAUGCUGGCUGUAAUUUUAAUAGGCAAUGCAUAAUCCUGCUUUUUUAGAAGAAAUGUUUCUAUGUACUCAACAGUGAAGGAAGCAGUAAUUACUGAAAACUGUGGGUAGAAUGACCAGUUUAGAAAGCCAGAAGCAAUUUGCUGCCAGAGUGUGCUUCCUUUUAAAAGAGCCAGCAGCUAAAAUGUACAACAAACUUCAAUGAAGAACUCUGUAUCAUAAAUUCCAAAAAUUCUGUGGCCAACCAGCAGCAGUGUUCUACAAUGGCAGGCGUGGAGAUCCGUCUCAAGUUACUGAAUAACAGAAAAUUUCCCUUUACAUCCAACUAUAUGUGUUGAAAUGAAAAAUUAUAUUCCAAGAAAUAUAUUGUCCUUGAGCAAUGCAAAAUUAAUUUUAAUGAAUAAUAUAAAAUCUGAAUGACAUGAUUGAUUCAUACAUUAACUAUGAAUGCCAAUUAAUUUUAAAGCAAAAUGACAGGAAAAUAAAAAAAUAUGGCUCCAAGUUUGGUUUUGCAGCCAUUUUAUCUUCAUAUGACAUUCACGUUUUGUAAAAAAUGUCAACUUUUAAUCUUUAAA